CAGCAGCCGCGGUAAAACGUAGGGUGCGAGCGUUAAUCGGAAUUACUGGGCGUAAAGCGUGCGCAGGCGGUUUUGUAAGACAGGCGUGAAAUCCCCGGGCUCAACCUGGGAAUGGCGCUUGUGACUGCAAAGCUAGAGUGCGGCAGAGGGGGAUGGAAUUCCGCGUGUAGCAGUGAAAUGCGUAGAUAUGCGGAGGAACACCGAUGGCGAAGGCAAUCCCCUGGGCCUGCACUGACGCUCAUGCACGAAAGCGUGGGGAGCAAACAGGAUUAGAUACCCGCGUAGUCCCUGUCUCUUAUAC
rnacentral:rRNA from 1 species